rnacentral:rRNA from 1 species
ACUUGUACCGACUGGAUGAGCAGCGAACGGGUGAGUAACGCGUGGGGAAUCUGCCUUUGAGCGGGGGACAACAUUUGGAAACGAAUGCUAAUACCGCAUAAAAACUUUAAACACAAGUUUUAAGUUUGAAAGAUGCAAUUGCAUCACUCAGAGAUGAUCCCGCGUUGUAUUAGCUAGUUGGUGAGGUAAAGGCUCACCAAGGCGAUGAUACAUAGCCGACCUGAGAGGGUGAUCGGCCACAUUGGGACUGAGACACGGCCCAAACUCCUACGGGAGGCAGCAGUAGGGAAUCUUCGGCAAUGGACGAAAGUCUGACCGAGCAACGCCGCGUGAGUGAAGAAGGUUUUCGGAUCGUAAAACUCUGUUGGUAGAGAAGAACGUUGGUGAGAGUGGAAAGCUCAUCAAGUGACGGUAACUACCCAGAAAGGGACGGCUAACUACGUGCCAGCAGCCGCGGUAAUACGUAGGUCCCGAGCGUUGUCCGGAUUUAUUGGGCGUAAAGCGAGCGCAGGUGGUUUAUUAAGUCUGGUGUAAAAGGCAGUGGCUCAACCAUUGUAUGCAUUGGAAACUGGUAGACUUGAGUGCAGGAGAGGAGAGUGGAAUGUCCAUGUG